GACGAACGCUGGCGGCGCGCUUAACACAUGCAAGUCGAACGGAAAGGCCUGCUUUCCCUUGUGGAUUGCGGGUACUCGAGUGGCGAACGGGUGAGUAACACGUGAGUGAUCUGCCCCCAACUUGGGUAUAAGCCUGGGAAACUGGGUCUAAUUCCCGAUAGGACUGCAGGGUGGUGCCUGUGGUGGAAAACGAUUUUCUAGUGGUUGGGGAUGAGCUCGCGGCCUAUCAGCUUGUUGGUGGGGUAAUGGCCUACCAAGGCGGCGACGGGUAGCCGGCCUGAGAGGGUGGACGGCCACAUUGGGACUGAGAUACGGCCCAGACUCCUACGGGAGGCAGCAGUGGGGAAUAUUGCACGAUGGGCGGAAGCCUGAUGCAGCGACGCCGCGUGGGGGAUGACGGCCUUCGGGUUGUAAACUCCUUUCGACCGCGAGGAAGCCACCUGGUUGGAAGGGUGGUGACGGUAGUGGUAGAAGAAGCACCGGCUAACUACGUA
rnacentral:rRNA from 1 species